GAUGAAGAACGUAGCGAAAUGCGAUACUUGGUGUGAAUUGCAGAAUCCCGUGAACCAUCGAGUCUUUGAACGCAAGUUGCGCCCGAAGCCAUUAGGCCGAGGGCACGCCUGCCUGGGCGUCACACGUCGUUGCCCCCCCAUCUACUCCUUCGGGAUUGCGGGGGGCGGAUGAUGGCCUCCCGUGCGCCUCGUCGCGCGGUUGGCCUAAAUGCCAAGUCCUCGGCGACGCACGCCACGACAAUCGGUGGUUGCGAAACCUCGGUUGCCCGUCGUGUGCGGUCGUUGCGCAUCGAGGGCUCGAAAAAAUUGCCGGGCUUCGGCUCGACUUUCAACGCGACCCCAGGUCAGGCGGGGUUACCCGCUGAAUUUAAGCAUAUCAAUAAGCGAGGA
rnacentral:misc_RNA from 1 species